UGUUCCAGAUGUUUAUACUCACUGUGACCUAUGCUGACAGUUUGGAGCCAUAACUGUGACUUAUUAGACGGUGAAAUGAUGUUAGAGACUUAAUGUUAAUGUUGCUGAACUAGUUUAAAUAUUUCCCCUCGUGUCAGGUGUUGUUAUCCCGAGACUGUGCUGCUGUAUGCUGUGUUCAGGUUUCGGUAUUUUAUUUUACUGUUAAAUGAGGCACAGAGAAAAGAGGACUCCACUGUGGUGUUGUUAUCCCGAGACUGUGAUGCCAUAAUCCACCUGGUCGCGUCUGUGGUCUGUAGAAGCAACAGUAGUGUGGAGCUGCAUCUCACAGAUAGCUGUGACCCAUCACAUAGAAAUGCACCCAAUAGAUUUUGGGACAUGUUGUCUUGAAGCAUUAAACGCAGGGACAGAAAGCCUAACAUGCCAAUACUAAUGUCACAUCGUUUGGAUUUGUCCCCAGUCCUUUACAUAGAAAUCAGUCCACAGCUGUUAUGGGCAACAAAGGAAGUCAUAGAAGAGCUCAUUUAUUAAAUUACAUUACAACACGUUCACCAAUUAGCAAGAAAAAGUGAUUAAAACACAGAAGUUAUGAGAAAAAAUCAGUGAUCAGCUGAGAAAAUGCUUUUAAUUUAAUCUCAACACAAAGAACGUCUUCAUCAGACCAGAGGCUCCCUCGUCCUUAAAUAUGUGUCCACCAUCAGCAGUGACAAACGGUGACAAGCAGUAAUAAUUCAUAGUCUGUGUGCAGAAACAGUAAAUCAGAGUUUGGCUCAUUCUUGUCAAGUAAAAGGAGGAUAAAAAAAAAAAAACUCAAAGUCUGUACACGUGUAAAACAAAACUUAACUUUGUGUGUUUCAAGUUUUUAAUCUUUACACCAUGAUCAGCCUCUGAUCAGCGAUGCAAACUUUCCUUCUGCAG